rnacentral:rRNA from 1 species
CCUACGGGUGGCAGCAGUGGGGAAUAUUGGACAAUGGGGGAAACCCUGAUCCAGCGACGCCGCGUGAGGGAAGAAGGAUUUCGGUACGUAAAGCUCUAUCAGCAGGGAAGAAAAGGACGGUACGUGACUAAGAUGCCACGGCUAACUACGUUCCAGAAGCGGCGAUAAUACGUCGGGAGCCAGCGUUAUACGGAUGUACUGGGUGUAAAGGGGGCGUAGACGGCAGCGCAAGUCUGGAGUGAAAUGCCGGGGCCCAACCCCGGAAGUGCGCGGGAAACUGGGAAGCUGGAGUGCGCGAGAGGUAGGCGGAAUUCGUGGUGUUGCGGUGAAAUGCGUAGAUAUCACGAGGAACCCCGACGGCGAAGGCAGCUUACUGCACUGUAACUGACGCUGAGGCUCGAAGGCGUGGGGAGCAAACAGGAUUAGAUACCCUGGUAGUC